rnacentral:rRNA from 1 species
UGCCAGACUCCUACGGGAGGCAGCAGUGGGGAAUAUUGCACAAUGGGGGAAACCCUGAUGCAGCAACGCCGCGUGAGUGAAGAAGUAUUUCGGUAUGUAAAGCUCUAUCAGCAGGGAAGAAGAUGACGGUACCUGAGUAAGAAGCCCCGGCUAACUACGUGCCAGCAGCCGCGGUAAUACGUAGGGGGCAAGCGUUAUCCGGAUUUACUGGGUGUAAAGGGAGCGUAGACGGUGAGACAAGUCUGAAGUGAAAGCCCGGGGCUCAACCCCGGGACUGCUUUGGAAACUGCCUGACUGGAGUGCUGGAGAGGCAAGCGGAAUUCCUAGUGUAGCGGUGAAAUGCGUAGAUAUUAGGAAGAACACCAGUGGCGAAGGCGGCUUGCUGGACAGUAACUGACGUUGAGGCUCGAAAGCGUGGGGAGCACACAGGAUUAGAUACCCCAGUAC